rfam:Thalassobius sp. CECT 5114 genome assembly, contig: 0003
CGGGACCUUCGGGGCCCUUCAUACGGUCACCCAUUCUUCCAAGAUGGGGGGCUAACAUCGCGGGUACCGGCACCUCAUAAGGCCAGCCCGCAUUGCUAAACGGAAGACAGUAA